GACGAACGCUGGCGGCGUGCUUAACACAUGCAAGUCGAACGAGUGGCGAACGGGUGAGUAAUACGUGGGUAACCUGCCCUCUUUUUGGGAUAAGCCUUGGAAACGGGGUCUAAUACCGAAUAAAGGGGGAUGGGCUCGAGGCCUGUCAGCUUGUUGGUGGGGUGAGGGCCUACCAAGGCGGUGACGGGUAGCCGGCCUGAGAGGGUGACCGGCCACAUUGGGACGGAGAUACGGCCCAGACGCCUACGGGGGGCAGCAGUGGGGGAUAUUGCAGAAGGGGUGAAAGCCUGAUGCCGCGACGGCGCGUGGGGGAUGAAGGCUUUCGGGUUGUAAACCUCGUUCGCUAGCGAAGGGGUAGGUAGAGAAGAAGCGCCGGCUAACUACGUGCCAGCAGCCGCGGUAAUUC
rnacentral:rRNA from 1 species